rnacentral:rRNA from 1 species
AGGGUUUGAUUAUGGCUCAGAAUGAACGUUGGCGGCGUGGAUUAGGCAUGCAAGUCGCACGAGUACACCAAUUAGCUUGCUAAGAGGUGGAUAGUGGCGCAAGGGAGAGUAACGCGUGGUUACUUGCCCUCGAGACCGGGAUAGUGUCGGGAAACUGACAGUAAUACCGGAUAACAUCUUAGGAUCAAAUGGUGUGAUUCCGCUCGAGGAUAGGACCGCGUACUAUUAGCUUGUUGGUGAGGUAACGGCUCACCAAGGCUUCGAUGGUUACCGGGUGUGAGAGCAUGGCCCGGCUCACUGGGACUGGGACACUGCCCAGACACCUACGGGUGGCUGCAGUCGAGAAUCUUCGGCAAUGGACGAAAGUCUGACCGAGCGACGCCGCGUGCGGGAUGAAGGCCCUCGGGUUGUAAACCGCUGUCAGUAGUUAGGAAGUCCAUGAGGGUUAUCUCUCAUGGUUGACCGAUCUUCAGAGGAAGGACGGGCUAAGUUCGUGCCAGCAGCCGCGGUAAGACGAACCGUCCAAACGUUAUUCGGUAUCACUGGGCUUAAAGUGUGCGUAGGCGGCUUGGUAGGUGAGAUGUGAAAGCCCACGGCUCAACCGUGGAAUUGCGUUUCAAACCCCCAAGCUCGAGGAAGAUAGGGGUGAUGGGAACUUAUGGUGGAGCGGUGAAAUGCGUUGAUAUCAUAGGGAACACCGGUGGCGAAAGCGCAUCACUGGAUCUUUUCUGACGCUGAGGCACGAAAGCUAGGGUAGCGAACGGGAUUAGAUACCCCGGUAGUCCUAGCCGUAAACGAUGAACACUGGGUUGAGGGGACUUCCACAUCCUCUCGGCCGUAGCGAAAGCGUUAAGUGUUCCGCCUGGGGAGUAUGGUCGCAAGGCUGAAACUCAAAGGAAUUGACGGAAUCA